UUAUUACUCCCUCCGAUCCGUAUUACUUAUUUUUGAUAUGUCUAGAUACAUCUAGAUACAGAUGUAUCUAGACACAUUUUAGUGUUAGAUACAUCCAUAUCUAGACAAACCUAACAUGAGUAAUAUGGAUCAGAGGUAGUACCAU
rnacentral:pre_miRNA from 1 species